UUUUAUUUCCUUUUUAUUGGAACAGUAUAGUGAAUUAACGGCAGACUCAUUACUGGAGAACACAUAUAGGGAGUACUAAGAAAACAUCUUAAUCCUUUUCAUCACGGUCAGCGAAUAACAUGAUUUUAUUAUAGUUUUUAUAGGUAUAUUCUCCUAUAAAAGUCAUUAGGAGUCAUUCAUAUAUAGGAGAAUAGAAUAUUAAUCAUUUUAUAACAGUUAUAGUUUUUAUGUUCGAUCCUUUCAUAAUAUAAAAAGUGGAGUUCAGAAAUCAGAUCGCAGUGAAAUCGAAAACAUCAAUAUGAAUUUAAACUUCUUGUGGCUUGUUGCAUUCUUGUCUGCCAUUUUUGUUGCGGUGGCACAAGAACAGUCUGAGCCUACUGCAGCUCAAGGAAAGGCACGAAUCACUAUCAAGACGUGAAAUUAGCAAUUAUCCUAUAAAUCUACAGGAAUAAUGAAUAAAUGAUUUGAGUCUG